rnacentral:lncRNA from 10 species
UAAAAGAUGCCUUUUUUCACAGCCCGGAGGAGAGCUGGUAGCCUAGAGUACAGCUGCUGGGCAGAACGGAGGUGUCCCUGCCAGCGUGCCUUCCUUGACGCUCCUCUGGCCAUGUUUUAAACACCAGGAGGUUUCCAGCGGCUUCCCCAGGCGUAGCUCCUGCACCUUUUUCCUGGGCUGGUCACCAUAUGUGAUGACAGUCCCAGAGCUGCUCAGAUCUGCCUGAUCUUCUCAAGCCGAGGGGGUCAGAACA